ACGACUUAUCCGCUUUAGCGCUUUAAGAUUAUUGGACGGUUAUGCCUGCCUCGAGAGAGUGUACAGGGCAGCAAGAGUAAUGAUUCCCUCGUUUUUACUACUAAUACCGCGCUUGGUAACAUAUUACACUCGAUUAAGUAGGGUCUUUGCUUCUAAUAGCAAUUGCUAUCCUCACCCUUAGGCUCUAAGGAUAUUACUAUCUGUAAGGUCUACAGGGAGGUGUAUAUGGCGUACUUACUUAUUCACGGUGGGGACAGACCAUUGUUAACUGUUGGUCUCGGUCUCAACUAGGAAUGCCUCGUACGGGUUGGUUCACCAAACCACCCGGAAUAUGUCCCUGCCCUUUGUACACACCGCCCGUCGCUCUUAUCGAUGAACUCACUUGUGAGGCUGAGGGACUGCGUCUAUUUAUACCCGUGUAAUCCUAAUAUCUUACAUACAUUUCGCUAAAGGCGAUAUUGCUUUAAGGAUUUACACGACCUUACGCACAAACUUAUUCGACCAAGUGGGUUUAAAG
rnacentral:rRNA from 1 species